UGUUCGGAGAAAGACUGCAUCCGGGGCGCAGCAGCGGGAGGUCGUGAGCUCGCGACCGCGCCCCGGAGACCUUAGCGGGUCAAUGAGUGUGGGUUUCUAUUCCUGUCCUUUUUUCUCCAACCUCCUCCCCGUCCUGCUGGGAGGAGCGGGGGUUGUGUCCCCGGGACCCGCGUGGCCCCCUAACGCCCCUCGCGGCCGCGGGCCCUGAAACUAAUGCUCCGCCUGCGGAAAUUUCGUUUCCUGGCGCUCACGCCCGCCGCAGGCAAGCCCCGAGGUCGCCAGGUUUCUUCAGUGGUGGCCUUUCCAAGUGGCGGAGCCCCUAAACAUUGGUAAUUUAGGAGCAGCUUGAGAGGGGAAACCUGCAUUCACUUUUUCACCCACCUGCAGGUUUCUUCUGUGGUCGUCCUGAGUGGGCCUCUGUAUUCACCUAUGCUAUUACCACUCUGG